rnacentral:rRNA from 1 species
AGUGAACGCUGGCGGCAGGCCUAAUACAUGCAAGUCGAACGGCAGCACAGCAGAGCUUGCUCUGUGGGUGGCGAGUGGCGGACGGGUGAGGAAUACAUGGGAAUCUGCCCAGUCGUGGGGGAUAACGUAGGGAAACUUACGCUAAUACCGCAUGCGCCCUUUGGGGGAAAGCCGGGGAUCUUCGGACCUGGCGCGAUUGGAUGAGCCCACGUCGGAUUAGCUAGUUGGGGGGGUAAAGGCCCACCAAGGGGACGACCCGUAGCUGGUCUGGGAGGAUGACCAGCCACACUGGAACUGAGACACGGUCCAGACUCCUACGGGAGGCAGCAGUAGGGAAUAUUGGACAAUGGGCGCAAGCCUGAUCCAGCCAUGCCGCGUGAGUGAAGAAGGCCCUCGGGUUGUAAAGCUCUUUUGUUGGGGAAGAAAAGCCUUGGGUUAAUACCCUGAGGUUCUGACGGUACCCAAAGAAUAAGCACCGGUUAACUUCGUGCCAGCAGCCGCCGUAA